AUCAACCUCACACCAGUGGUCACAGGAAUUGAGAUUAGAAAGUUACAGUAGGUGGGCAGAUUUAUUUGGAGCAGAUUCAUUGUAGCUUUAUUCCUGUUUGAGAGUCCAGCACAGGCAGCAGAGCCAACUGCAUAGCAGACAUCCAGGUUGAAUUUACUACAGUUAUGGGGGACAAGCAGCAAGAGGAUGCCAAGCAAAGCCAGCGAAGGCAGAUAAAGAAGUAGCAGGCAGCAUCUGGUUAAUCCAUGAUCCUACAAAUCAGUAUCACUGAGCCACGUUCUGAGCCAGGGAACUAGUAUGUGAUUGAAUUCCAACUGCAAGGCAGACACCGGGAUGGAUUAAUCGCAAAGGUAUAUUAGCAGCAAGGAUGACGCCAAAAGCAGAGCGCGACGCUAACUAGCCAAGGUCAAAAAUGCGUGGCACAGUGGGACAACCAUUCUCCAGGUCCAGCGACGAUGCACGGAUAUCAUUGCACCGCGCUCAGUAGACACACAGCACUUAUUAACAGGUCCCAAAUUAAUAGCGCCAUAUAAUAUCAGCAGGUAUAGAACCAUAGAGACUGGAAAGCUUCACUAGUUUUAUUCCUGUUUGAGUAUCCAGUAAAUGUACCAGAGCCAGUCACAUACAUAGGAGUCGUUUGAGUUUGGUUAAUCACAGAAUAAGCAGCAAGGAAACGACGAGCAAGGUUGGAGGGCAAAUUUAGGAGCAGCAGGCAAUCUCCGCUUCCACCACCGGUCAAGAAACCAGCAUGUAUUUGGGAUCCAGCCGCGAAGGCAGACAUCAGGAUGGAUCAGUCGCAAAGGUACAUUAGCAGCAAGAAUGACGCCAAAAUAAAACACAAUGACAACCAAGCAGGGUCAAGAAAUGUAUGGCAUAGUGGAACAACCAAUCUCCAAGUCCAGCAAAGAAGUACAGAUAACACUGCGCCACGCUCAGUAGGCACACAGCAUUAACUACUAGGCUCUGAAUUAGUAGCGCCGUAUCAUUUCAGCAGUCUCGGAACCAUUGAGAUUGGAAAACUUCACUAGAUAGGCAGAUUCGCCUU